CGCGCACUCACACCGCGCGCACGUAACUCGCACCGCGACCAUGUCUCUGUAAACGAUUCCGAACCGAGACUCCAAACCCAGCGCGAUGACCCCAUAACAUGUCACAAUCGCACCGCUGUGCCCGGUUCACCCCAGCGCAGCAUGUGACGGAUCUGACGUGAUGCAACUAGUAAUGUUAAACUUCCUAAUCAUGUUCGACGUGGUGUUCAUAUUCUUCCUGUUCUUGAUCGCGGUGACGUGUGUGAUGAACUAUAUGCCGGGUCGCAAGCGGCAGGAGGCGACGGCAGAGGAGGUAGACAGUGACGUCAUCCCACCGCCUCCUCUCUUCGAUGACGACGAGCCGUCGACGAGUCGGGACACGUACGUGGUGAUACCGCCACCGAUGGACAGCGCGAGGGCUAAAGACGGAUGCCCGAUACACGUCGUUUAGCAUAAGCACUGAUAAUGUAUCAACGUAGGAGUUUAUUACGAAGAAGCCUUAUGAGAAUGUAGGUGUCGAAAAUUAAAAGAUGUAGACAUUUUUUACCAUUUAGUCGAGUUUUCUUGUUACGUUAAGACUAUAAACGGUGGAAUAUGGGGACUCAAGUGAAGGUACGUACUAAUGGAAUUAGGGUGGAUGCGUUAUCACAGUUAGGUAUCAAAAUAAGGAUGUUAACUUAUUAAUAGAUUAAUAGCAGCUACAAUGAUUGCCAUGUUCAGUUGAGUUUACUGUGAUUUUGAUUUCGGCCUAAUUUAUUAUACUUGAUUAGUAUUUUUAUUGUAAAACCAACCAGCACUAAAACAAGACACUAUGUUAUAUUGUGAAAAUAGCUAGCAGUUACAGUUGAAGCUCAUGAUACAGAUUAAUAUCCUCUGUACUCUUAAAUGGAGUGCGCAUGUAGGGGAGACUGGCCCAAAGCGGGCACCUUAAGGUAAAGUAGGAAAA